rnacentral:lncRNA from 1 species
GGCGCGCACCCGUCGGCGCCGAGCGCGCAGCCUGCUCCACCGCCGCCUCUUGGUCCCGCCGCCGCCGCUGCCGCCGCCGCCGGGCAGAGGCCGGGGACCGGAGAAAGGAGGAGCGGAGAAGGAGAAGGAGGAGAGCACGGCCUGGCUGGGACAGAAGCGGUGGGACCCUGGGAGGCCUCCGCUGUGCCCGUGCCGCGCUCCUCGGGACCAGCGCGUCGCACACAAAGGGGCUGCCGAGCCAGAGCCACCAGCGGCCUCAGGGCACCGUGGGGAGCGCGCAGCUAGGGGGCGCUGUGGCGCACCCCGCCCCGCAGCCCCGCCCCCGGCCCUCCCCGGCCCCACCCCACUCCCACCGCCCUCUCCGCGGCCGUCCCCACCCCUAUCUCCGCGACCCCCACUCCUCCUCGGCUGUUCCCCAACCCUGUCACUGUGCUCCCCUCCCUACUCCCGGCCCGUAGUGGAGGUGACUUUCCUGCGCAGCGCCGCUUCUGAGGGCGGAGAACCCACAGGGAGUGCGACCCCUUUGCACGCUGUGAGUGGGCAACUGUCCGAGGGACUCGAGCCGAUCGAAGGCUGGACGCCCUAUAGGGCUCUUGGCAGUCCACGAAAGACCUGGAGUCCGCCUCCCCAUUUCUCCGGUCGGUGAGUGGCAGGAGGAAAUCGCCAAACAUGUUUUCCCGCUUUGCCUCCCCAACUCGGAAACUUGCAACUUGCCGUGUCCUGGAGGUUGAGACAAUUUGGGGUCUCUUGGCUGCCGUCCAACAGAUUUAUCUCUGAGGGCAGUGUCCUUGGUGAGAGGUCCAAGUAGGUGUGGGCGACAUUGUCCUCCAUCUCAUGAGGGAGCAGCCCUGCACACUAGGGCCCAAAACUCUGCGAAGGAGCUUGGAAGUUCUUCAUCCGUUCCACUUGUUUUGCUACUCCACACACCCUUCUAGGACAUGUUGAUUGCCAACUGCUCUGUGCAGCUUUCCCAUAGCUGUCUGUUCCCGUGCAUUUCGGAGCACCAAGCAAAUACGAGCAGAGAGACCUGGAAAAAAAAAUGAUGAAGACAGUAUUAAUGAUAAAAUUAACAUGGCUGAGUGAAUUGUCAAUGCAAGUUCCUUUACUAACUCUUUGUUAAGUUUUGCUUUGUACUCCUUACAUCCUCUUUCUCUUAAGCCAUUGUUUUAAUUUCUUCUCGUUAUCAUUUUUAAAAGUAACAGAAAUACAGCUUUCUUCCUACCUUCACGAUUGACUUGGUGGAGGUUGGGUUGCAAAGAGGAAGCAGUAAGAAAAAAUAAUUAUUCUAUACAUUCACAAGUCCUUCAAGGCACAAAAUAAAAGUAAGAAAUAGAAAAUAUGUCCUUUCUCCUAAUAAAGGUCUUUAUAAUAAAAUUUAAAUGAAGUUUUGUGUUUCAUAACAGCUUCCCAAAUACUGUUGUAGAUACUAAAAUGUGCCUGUAUGUAUUUCCUUCCACAAUAAUAAUAGUAAUAAUAAACUUUUUUAGGUCCAAAUUAAACAUUUCUCAGCUUAAAUUUCUAUCCUCAAUCCAACAUUUAUUAUAUCAAAACUUGAUUUUUAAAAAUAAAACUUUCUUGGAAUUCAUCAUUGAUGUCUGUUUGAUGGCCUCGUGAACAUCAGGAAGAUGAAAUGAAAUGGUUCAAGACUGGAACAAUACCAUUAUCUGCAUCUUGACUCCUGGGAGAUAAUGAUAUCUCCUGCUUUCCUCUACAGACCUACCAGUUUUCUCUGCUUUAAGGGAAAAUCCAAAUGCAUGAGACCUGUGCAUUCUUCUACAUAAUCAAGAGUCUGGUUUCUUCCAUCGGAGUGUAUGGAGUUAAAGUGGUAUACUGUACAUGGCAUGGUGUGAUAGGUGGGAAUAUGAGCUACUGGGGGAAAAAGUUCUUACUUCUAGCCACUUAUACAAAGAGAGGCCAUCUCAGUGUAAUCUGAAAAAAUGCUCACUUUAUAAUGCUGUAUCCAAGGCCCAUCAAAAACUAAAUGGAUGUAUUUGUACUAAAAGUUGGGGAAAGUUGAAUAUCUAAACCUCUGAGCAAAUCUUUCUUAAUUUAGAAAAUAAAAUAGAGCAUCA